rnacentral:rRNA from 1 species
GACGAACGCUGGCGGCGUGCUUAGCACAUGCAAGUCGAACGGAAAGGCCCUGCUUUUGUGGGGUGCUCGAGUGGCGCACGGGUGAGUAACACGUGAGUAACCUGCCCUUGACUUUGGGAUAACUUCAGGAAACUGGGGCUAAUACCGGAUAGGAUCUCCUGCUGCAUGGUGGGGUUUGGAAAGUUUCGGCGGUUUGGGAUGGACUCGCGGCUUAUCAGCUUGUUGGUGGGGUAGUGGCUUACCAAGGCUUUGACGGGUAGCCGGCCUGAGAGGGUGACCGGCCACAAUGGGACUGAGAUACGGCCCAGACGCCUACGGGAGGCAGCAGUGGGGAAUAUUGCACAAUGGGCGGAAGCCUGAUGCAGCAACGCCGCGUGCGGGAUGACGGCCUUCGGGUUGUAAACCGCUUUCGCCGGUGACGAAGCGUGAGUGACGGUAAUGGGUAAAGAAGCACCGGCUAACUACGUG